CACAUGCUAAUGUAUGCCAGCAAAGUUUCACAUAUACUGAAUCCAGUGCCAGAAUAUUCCUUGCAGGACUUGACUAUAACCAUCACCUUACGAGGGCACCAAGGAAAAAGGAAGAUGGUGAUUUUCAAUAUGCCAAGUUGUAUAGUAAAAGGUCUCGAUGGCGCCUUUAUACAAUGAAGGAGAAGAAAGAUUACAGUUAUAUCCCGGACCUCCAAGCUGCCAUUUUAAAGGAAAAACUUGCAUCUGAAGGGAUACCCUGCAAAACGAAACCAAGACCUGGCGACCCAAGGCACCUUGGUACACUUUCAUGUGUGCCAGUACCUUCAACCGAGGACCUUUUGAGGACGAAGCACUCCAGCGGAAUAGGGCCCUCUUGAGGCACUGACUGACACAAGACUGCUGAGGGCCAACACAUUUGGGAAUCUUUUUGAAUACUGUUGACAUUCACAAUGGUGGC